UCCGGCUUGGCGCCGGCAGUCUCCCUAGAGUCCCCACCAUUACGUGCUGGCAACUAAGGACGGGGGUUGCGCUCGUUGCGGGACUUAACCCAACACCUCACGGCACGAGCUGACGACAGCCAUGCACCACCUGUCAGGGGCCCUUACGGACACUGCAUCUCUGCAGCUUUUCCCCAGAUGUCAAGUCCAGGUAAGGUGGGGAUGACGUAGGAGGAAUUCCA
rnacentral:misc_RNA from 1 species